UUUUUUUUUUUUUUUUUUUGAGACGGAGUCUCUUUUUUGAGAUGGAGUCUUGCUCUGUCGCCCGGGCUAGCAUGCAGUGGCAUGAUCUCGGCUUACUGCAAGCUCCACCUCCCAGGUUCACGUCAUUCUCCUGCCUCAGCCUUCCAAGUAGCUGGGAUUACAGGCAUGCACCACCACACCCUGCUAAUUUGUAUUUUUAGUAGAGACAGGGUUUCUCCAUGUUGGUCAAGCUAGCCUCGAACUCCCAGCCUCAGGUGAUCCUCCUGCCUUGGCCUCCCAAAGUGCUGGGAUUACAGGCGUGAGCCACCACACCUGGUGAGUGUGUUUUAUCUUGAAAUCCCUUUCAGAAUAGAAAUAAAGUGCUGGGAUUACAGGAGUGAGCCACCACGCCCAGCCUAAAGUUUCUUUUUGAUUUAAUCUUCUCUCUUAAAGCUCAUAGGGCUGGCUAAAAUUGCUCAUUGUAUUUCUGAAUUUCCAUUCCCCAACAACGCCUCAUUUUACAUUUUUCUUUACACAAUUUUUGGAAUCCUUUUUCUUUUCACUCAGUUCUCCUCUUCCCCAACCAAAAUGUCUUUUGCUCGGAUUAAACUCAUUUACUGGCCGGGCAUGAUGGCUCACGCCUGUGAUCCUAACACUUUGGGAGGCCGAGGCGGGCGGAUCACGAGCUCAGGAAAUCGAGACCAUCCUGGCUAACAUGGUAAAACCCCAUCUCUACUAAAAAUACAAAAAAAUUAGCCGGGCGAGGUGGCGGGCGCCUGUAGUCCCAGCUAUUUGGGAGGCUGAGGCAGGAGAAUGGCGUGAACCCUGGAGGCAGAGCUUGUAGUGAGCUGAGAUCGCACCACUGCACUCCAGCCUGGGCAAUAAAGUGAGACUCCCUCUCAAAAAAAUCAAACAAACAAACAAAUAAACUCAUUUACCAAAGGAACGAAUACAUGAUUAUUCCCCAGAGGCAGUUUUAUUUGAAAAGAAAAACUUCUUAAUGAAUCUCUAAUUGGCCAAAUUUCAGGUAAUCUAACAAUCCUAGAUUUCAGGACUUUCUUAUAUCUCUUAAAACAUAUUCCUAGGUAAUUGUCUAGUACGGGUGGUUUUUCAAACAUUUAAAAGCCAUUGAAUUCUUGCUUCAAAUAAAAUUAGGCAGUAGCCGAGUGAGUAGAAGAGAUAAAGGGCUAAAGUACUUGGCUAAAUGGGGAUGGGGGCCCAGGACCCUCCCCACUCACCUCUGCUUCUCUUCACCAGCCACCACUGUGGAACAACUCCAGUAAGAGGCCAGCCCAUAUUUGCACCCAAAUGCACACACCUACGGGGAAAGAAUGGAUGAUACACAAGUAGAGAGCCCAUUCUUGGGCGUCCAAAAGGAGCCUGUAGAUGUCUGUUGCCAUAAUAAAUCACAUUCACAUUUUUUAAAACACUUUGAGAAUGUGGCAAAACAAGAAGUGAAUGGAGUGAGAAAUCUCAGGUUUAGAACUUUGGUGUGAGAUGUGGUUAUGUUCUGAAACAAAUAUGGUCAACUAAGUGUAUUCUUGAGGCCAACCUGUCUAUUAUUAGCUCCUUUUGGAGAAUUGGUUUUCCCCCAAUGUGGGUUUUCCCUUCCUCAAACUUUAAAUUUCAUCCAACUACCAAAAUAAUUUUCUCCUUUGAAACAAGAGUUCCAGGGGUAUUUUCCUAGUAAAGUACAAUGUGGAAGAUGGCCUCCAGAAAGACCAUGCUGUUCCUCUUUUUGUUGAUCUCUAGGUCUGUGUUUCUUACCCUGCAGGUACCUCACACCCAACAGCACCUAAACAGACUCUUAGAACUUCCCUCAAAGCUUGUCCCUCCUCUAGGUUAUCCUAUCCAGUCACAAAGUUAAAAGUCACCAUAAAGACAGCAACCAUUAAAUUACUGGGGCUCUAAGUUAGGCAUAUCAUGAAGAUCAGGAUUUUUCAAUUUCAACAGUACUGACACUUGGGGCAGGAUAACUCUUUGUCGCGUGGGCCUAUUCUGUGCAUUGUAGGAUGUUUAGCAGCAUCCCUGGCCUUUACACACUAGAUGCUAGCAGCACCUACCCACUUUGAGGCUAUACAAUCAAAAAUAUCUCCAGGCAUUGCCAGAUGUCUGCUAGAGGAAAAAUCAACUCCAUUUGAGAACCACUGAUGUGUAUGAUCUCUAUUCCUCACAAUACCCACAUGGGGCAGAGGAGGAAACUGGACCUCUGAGGAAUUAAGGGACUUGGCCUUGGUUGUGUGACCAGUAUAUGGCAGAGCUGGUCUCAAAGUACUAUAAAAGCCAUCUCCCCUUCUCUCUGCUGCCUUCCAGUACCCAAUUCUCUCUUUCUUCUAGUUUUUAUCUAUGCUAAUCUCUCAUGUGACGUGCCUUUCAUGUUUUAUUUAUUUGUUUUGUAGAGAUGAGGUCUUACCAUGCUGCCCAGGCUGACCUUAAACUCCUGGCCUCAGGUGAUCCUCCUGCCUCAGUCUCCAGACGUGCUGGGAUUACAGGCAUGAGCAACUAACCCUGGCCCAUGUGAAAUGUCUUAAUUUUGCUCCCUGCUUUCUGGAUUGCCUUAGCUCAGAUCUGUAUUUCUUACCUAGCCAUAACUAGGUUCUGAAUUUAUCUUCCCAAUUUCAGUCUCUUCAUCUUUCAAUCUCCGUUUCACAUUGUUAGAGCUAACUUUGUGAAACAGAUAUUAUUAGUGUAACUGCCUUAUUGAAAAACUUUCUGUGCCUUCCACAUUGCCUACAACAGUGGUUCCCAAAGGAUGAUCCUGAGACUGGCAUCAUUGGUAUUACCUGGCAAUUUGUUAGAACUGCAAAUCCUUGGGCCCCAUCCCAGACCUGAAUCAGAAACUAUUUCUUUCUUUUUUUUUUUUUUUUUUUUUUGAGACAGAGUCUGUCUCUGUCACCCAGGUAGAGGCGGGGUUUCACCAUGUUGGCCAGGCUGGUCUUCAACUCCUGACCUCAGGUGAUCCUCCUGCCUUGGCCUCCAAAAGUACUGGAAUUACAGGAGUGAGCCACUGCACCUGGCCAUAAAUCUGUUUUAACACACCCUCCUCCAAGUGGUUCUGAUGCUUACUU
ensembl:lncRNA